rnacentral:rRNA from 1 species
GACGAACGCUGGCGGCGCGCUUAACACAUGCAAGUCGAGCGAGAACCGGCCCUUCGGGGCCGGGGAAAGCGGCGAACAGGUGAGUAACACGUGGGUAAUCUGCCCUCGGUAUCGGGAUAGCCCGGGGAAACCCGGAUUAAUACCGAAUAGCCCUUCGAAUUCUCGAAUUCGAAGGAAAAGGUAGCUUCGGCCUCCGACCGAGGAUGAGCCCGCGGCGGAUUAGCUUGUUGGUGGGGUAACGGCCUACCAAGGCGGCGAUCCGUAGCUGGUCUGGGAGGACGAUCGGCCACACUGGGACUGGGAAACGGCCCAGACUCCUACGGGAGGCAGCAGUGGGGAAUCUUGCGCAAUGGGCGAAAGCCUGACGCAGCGACGCCGCGUGCGGGAAGAAGGCCUUCGGGUUGUAAACCGCUUUCAGGAGGGACGAAGCCACUCGGGUGAAUAGCCCAGAGGGUGACGGUACCUCCAGAAGAAGCACCGGCUAACUACGUGCCAGCCGCCGCCGUAAAAC